rnacentral:rRNA from 1 species
CCUACGGGUGGCAGCAGUGAGGAAUAUUGGUCAAUGGACGCGAGCCUGAACCAGCCAAGUAGCGUGAAGGAUGACUGCCCUAUGGGUUGUAAACUUCUUUUAUAAAGGAAUAAAGUCAGGCACGUGUAUCUUGUUGUAAGUACUGUACGAAUAAGGAUCGGCUAACUCCGUGCCAGCAGCCGCGGUAAUACGGAGGAUUCGAGCGUUAUCCGGAUUUAUUGGGUUUAAAGGGUGCGUAGGUGGUUUGUUAAGUUAGUUGUGAAAGCUUGCGGCUCAACCGUGGAACUGCCGUUGAUACUGGCAGUCUUGAGUGCAGUUGAGGUAGGCGGAAUGCGUGGUGUAGCGGUGAAAUGCAUAGAUAUCACGAAGAACUCCGAUUGCGAAGGCAGCUUACUAAACUGCCACUGACGUUGAGGCACGAAAGUGUGGGGAUCAAACAGGAUUAGAUACCCUUGUAGUC